UCCCUGGUGGCCCAGUGGUUAAGACGCUGAGCUCCCAAUUCAGCGUACCUGGGUUUGAUCCCUGGUUUGGGAA
rnacentral:tRNA from 1 species